AUUGAACGCUGGCGGAAUGCUUUACACAUGCAAGUCGAGCGGCAGCGCGGCCUUCGGGCUGGCGGCGAGCGGCGAACGGGUGAGUAAUGCAUCGGAACAUGCCCAGUCGUGGGGGAUAACACUUCGAAAGAAGUGCUAAUACCGCAUACGUCCUGAGGGGGAAAGCGGGGGAUCGCAAGACCUCGCGCGAUUGGAGUGGCCGAUGUCAGAUUAGCUAGUUGGUGGGGUAAAGGCCUACCAAGGCGACGAUCUGUAGCUGGUCUGAGAGGAUGAUCAGCCACACUGGGACUGAGACACGGCCCAGACUCCUACGGGAGGCAGCAGUGGGGAAUUUUGGACAAUGGGGGCAACCCUGAUCCAGCUAUUCCGCGUGAGUGAAGAAGGCCUUCGGGUUGUAAAGCUCUUUCGGCAGGAACGAAACGGUGGGCUCUAACAUAGUCCGCUAAUGACGGUACCUGAAGAAGAAGCACCGGCUAACUACGUG
rnacentral:rRNA from 1 species